rnacentral:rRNA from 1 species
UACGAAGGGGGCUAGCGUUGCUCGGAAUUACUGGGCGUAAAGGGCGCGUAGGCGGGUUGCUAAGUUAGAGGUGAAAGCCCAGGGCUCAACCCUGGAAUUGCCUUUAAUACUGGCAGCCUUGAGUAUGGCAGAGGUGUGUGGAACUCCGAGUGUAGAGGUGAAAUUCGUAGAUAUUCGGAAAGAACACCAGUGGCGAAGGCGACACACUGGGCCAUUACUGACGCUGAGGCGCGAAAGCGUGGGGAGCAAACAGGG